rnacentral:rRNA from 1 species
AUUGAACGCUGGCGGCAGGCCUAACCCAUGUAAGUCGAGCGGAGCGGCGGACGGGUGAGUAAUGCCUAGGAAUCUGCCUGGUAGUGGGGGAUAACGUCCGGAAACGGGCGCUAAUACCGCAUAAUAUCAGAUGAGCCUAGGUCGGAUUAGCUAGUUGGUGGGGUAAAGGCCGCCCAAGGCGAAGAUCCGUAACUGGUAUGAGAGGAUGAUCAGUCACACUGGGACUUAGACACGGUCCAUACUCCUACGUGAGGCAGCAGUGGGGAAUAUUUGACAAUGGGCGAAAGCCUGAUCCAGCCAUGCCGCGUGUGUGAAGAAGGUCUUCGGAUUGUAAAGCACUUUAAGUUGGGAGGCGUUACCAACAGAAUAAGCACCGUCUAACUUCGUGCCAGCAGCCGCGGUAAUUC